rnacentral:rRNA from 1 species
UACGUAGGUGGCAAGCGUUGUCCGGAAUUAUUGGGCGUAAAGCGCGCGCAGGCGGUUCCUUAAGUCUGACGUGAAAGCCCACGGCUCAACCGUGGAGGGUCAUUGGAAACUGGGGAACUUGAGUGCAGGAGAGAAGAGUGGAAUUCCACGUGUAGCGGUGAAAUGCGUAGAGAUGUGGAGGAACACCAGUGGCGAAGGCGGCAUCCUGGACCGGCAUUGACGCUGAACAGCGAAAGCUAGGGGAGCAAACGGG